rnacentral:rRNA from 1 species
GGUAGUCCACGCCGUAAACGAUGCAGACUAGGUGUCGGGGGUAUCGACCCCCUCGGCGCCGACGCUAACGCAUUAAGUCUGCCGCCUGGGGACUACGGCCGCAAGGCUAAAACUCAAAGGAAUUGACGGGGCCCGCACAAGCAGCGGAGCGUGUGGUUUAAUUCGAUGCAACGCGCAGAACCUUACCUAGGCUUGACAUGCAUGUGGUACCGAAGUGAAAGCUGAGGGACCCGCAAGGGAGCAUGCACAGAUGCUGCAUGGCUGUCGUCAGCUCGUGCCGUGAGGUGUUGGGUUAAG